rnacentral:misc_RNA from 1 species
AAGUUAUAGUCCCCCGGCCCUCUGGGCUGGGGUCUUCUAUACCACCCUUUGUUUAUUACACCUUUGUUGCUUUGGCAGGCCUGCCCUCGGGCUGCUGGCUCCGGCCGGCUCGCGUCUGCCAGAGGACCUAAACUCUGUUUGUAUAUGAAGUCUGAGUACUAUAUAAUAGUUA